GUGUGGAGGUGGACGCCACUUCGGAUUCAACAAUACCGAGGCCUUUUAGGUUCGAGCCGAAGCGCGCAUCAGCGUCUGCGAAACUGUCUACAAGUAAUAUUUCUGAGACUACAAAACAGAUGAACGUGAAGAGAACGCUUUGGUUGCAAGUGCUCGCGUGAGGAGCACUGCUUAUGCCGUUGCGGACAAUGCAGCAUGAUGUGGAGCGAGGUCGAGUCGACUUGUUGCUGGGAGGUUCCUGCAGCUUUCAGUAAACGCGGCGAGCAGGAAGGGCUGCAGUGCGUCACGCAGCACUCAGAGUUUGCUGUUGUUUGCCUGCAAAAAUCAGUGCUCGAGGUGGCAUUGCUUUCCUUCGAAGAAUUUCGGGCAAGGUGUGGACCGUGGUCAAACAGGAUUUGGAGACAUGUGGCGUAUAGACAAUACACAUGGUUCACCCAUGGAUACUUUGGACGCAAGCAGCGGCAUGUGAUACCGUCUUGCGUGGUAUCGAAGAUAAAGCAGCUGUACCAGAAGCCAAUGCAGAUGCGCACUGGGGCUUUGAGGAAGCAGUUGGACAUGAUGAUGAUGAUGAUGAUAAUGCUUCUUGGCCUGGUUGACGUUCACAUAAUCAUUGGUACAUGUGCAUGCAGAAUGUAGAAAACAGUUGACAGACACGAUUUAUAACUAUU